AGUGCAAGAGCGCACGAGCAGCCGAGAGAACGAACGAGUGCGCACGAGAGUGUGCGAGUGAGUGUGCGUGUGUUUGUGUGUGUGUGUGUGUGAGAGAGAGAGAGAGAGAGAGAGAGAGAGUCGCAUGCGUCGAGAAGAUCUCAGAGCUCUGCACUGUGUGCAUUGUGAAGAAGCAAAAACUUCUCCAGCAGACAUCUGUGGUCCUUCCGCUUGCAAACAAGGAGCGACUGAGCGCGAGACGCGCGCGCUGCGAGGCGCUUCUUGGGCUUCUCGGGUUUUUAGAGGGGGAAUCAGGAGUGUGUUCCGUGCGAGACCCCGAGGCGCGAGGAGCUCACUGAAACCCUCUCAGCUGGUCUACAGAGGAGGAACUUUGCCCUCGAACCUGGCUCGAGACGUCCCCACCAUCACCACCACCACCACCGCCACCGCGACGAUGGGCGGAUUUAUCUGCACGCGCUGAGGAUUUCACCAUUUUUUCAUUGUUUCUUUCUUCUCUAUUCUUUUUUUUUUUUUUUUUUUUUUUUUGGAUGAACGUGAACGGAACGUUUACACCAGAGCGUCCUGAAAGCACUGAUAGAACAGAUUUGACUGGACUGGGACACAUUUAGGUCAGUUUUAGUCGCUGUGAUGUGAAAUCCAGGACUGUAAUCCAGGAGAAAUGAGCAGUAAAUAACCCAAGCCGGCGCGCACUGGGUGGAUAAGGUCUAAUUCGGCUCAGCUGAGUCUCAUUCAUUCACCAGAGACCCAUAUCUAAAGCCUGUUUCCUGCCAUGUCGUGGUUUCUCUGUUUGUGGAUAGCGGUAAGCUGCCUCGUGCUCUGCCAGGCCACUCUGUACGAGACCAUCCAGCAGCACCACGUGCCUCGACCCGGCCGCAACGCCAUCCAGAUCCUCGAGGGUGGGACGUGUGAGGUGAUCGCAGCCCAUCGGUGCUGCAACAAGAACCGCAUUGAGGAGCGCUCGCAGACGGUCAAGUGCUCGUGUCUGCCGGGCAAAGUAGCAGGAACGACACGCAACAAGCCCUCCUGUGUGGACGCCUCCAUUGUGAUCGGGAAAUGGUGGUGUGAGAUGGAGCCGUGUUUGGAAGGAGAGGAGUGCAAGACACUGCCAGAUAACUCGGGCUGGAUGUGUUCUUCUGGAAACAAGAUCAAAACCACCAGGCUUAACUGAGCCGCGGCGAGUUCCGGAUCAUUCUCCACUUUUCCACAGAACACACAGCCAUAUUCCCCUUUUUAGCUCGAGAGCAGCUGCAGGAGAAGCGACGCCGAACUCUCAGCGCAAGAGAGCGAGCCCUCCUUGACAAGGAAGGUCUUUUGUUUGAGGAGGGCCACAAUGUGAGAGAAAGAAAGAAAGAAAGACAGAGAGAAAGGCUGGCGAUCGUCCAGUCACUCACCUCUGCUUUUACCUGCUGCUCUGGUUCAAUUCCCAUGAAAAAAAAAAAAUACAUAACAAACACAAAAAAAUUAUUUAAGGAUUUUUUUUUACAAUCUGCUCAGCUGUGGGCUUUUAAAUGGAAUAAAAAAGGAAACGUGUGAAGAUACUUUGAGUUGUUUGUGAAUGUCUCGGGCAUUUCUGGUCAUCAUAACGCUGUGGAAACACCACACGCAAUUCUGUUCAGAGAAAAGUGAAGAAUUUGGGACAUUUAACACAUCAUAUAGGAUCAUGUCAGGAUUCCUGUCAGGAUCGUCCACAGAAAGACUCGUCUCUUAUGACAAUUGGUACAAUUUCUUCUCGCCGUCUGACAUCUUCAUUCGGACUCAGCGUGCAUGCGGGCGACGUUUUCUGUUUAAACUCUGAACAUGAAUGACAAAAAAAGCAGAGGAGAAACGCCAUGUGGUAAAAUCCUACAUCCUGCUCUUCAGCCUGAGCUGAGACACAGAGGAGGAGGACAACUAUUCAUCCUAGGACUUAACCCACAGCUCCCAUGUGGCUGCGCUCGAGCGUCCCCUCUGUCCCAGCGGACUAAACCAUUCCAUCAAAGGCCGGUCUAAACGGAUUAGCAACGAAAGAAGGGCAUCAGCACGCUUACACUGACCACGUGCCAAGGAGACAGUUUUCUGGGAUUUUAUUCCUUUUUUUUCCUUUUUUUGGGGACAAGGCCACAAGAUGAUCCGGACAUCUCCUCUUCUCAAAACGAGCGAGACUGAUCUGACAUGUUCUGAUCUCUUCCCUUUGAAAAUCUCCCAUUUCUCUCCAUCUUUUAUUCAUAUACACGUAGCAUAACCUCAUAUCGAUACGUUUCUCCAGCACAAUGGACGCUUUAGAUCAGGAACUAACAGGACAGACGGAUUAGAGACGUCCCUCGUCCAGCUAAUCACCGUCCCAGUUUGGACUCAUGGCAUGCUCGCUUUGUCUGGACUUGAGGAGUGUGUAGCCUGACUUGAGCCUCACCGAACCAGCAAACAACCACAACCACCACACACACACACACUCUCCCAGGGUCGUAGGUCAAACCCCAGUGCGGUCUCUCUUUUCUCCGUCAGCAUGCUCGGUGUACUUUGUGGGAGCUUUUAUUCGUAUCCUGUACAUAUGUGUGUAUAUAUCUACAUAUACAUCGGGAAAAAAAAAUAACGACAAGUUGUAUGAUCUUGUAUGCUAAAGACCUGUUCCUAUGGUUCAGGAGAGUGUGUGACUGUGCUCAUGUUUCCUUACAGGAUGUCUACGGGAUACGACAUUCACCAUCUUUCCUUUGGAAAAAAAAAAGAUUGAAUGAAUGACUUGAAAAUAAAAGUGGUAUGUUACGUGUA